AAAAAAAAAAAAAAAAAAAAAAGUGAAGCAAUAAUCAUAAAGGAACAGAUGGGGACAGAGUGCCCUGCGACUUCUGAAAGGCACAGCAAGGACUCGCUGCCUAGAAAUUCAUCAAGAUAAUGCUAAUUGCACUCCCAGGCCGCGUCGUAGCCGCCCUGCCAGGGGUCCCGCAUUCGCGCCCGCACCCGCGCCCGCACCCGCGCCCUCCCCUGGGACUCCCCUUUUCCCCCCAGUUUCCUCCACCUCUGAGCCCGGAGGUUUGACGCGGAAAGGACGGAGCUCUGGCUGUGAGGAAGGGCGCGGAGGGGCGCGGGCAGAGGGCAGCGAUGCUCGAUAUUCCCUUCCUCCGUCCCCGCAGCCACCCCGCACGCUUCACCUCAGGGCUCGGGGCUUUCUCGCCUCCAAGGCUCCUGCGGACCCCUCACACGGAAUUAACCUGAUUUACAGCCCGAUCUGGCUCUCCAGUCCCACGGAUGGGCGCCCUCACGGGACACACGCUUUUUUGGCAUUGCCGUGGGGUGCAGCUUCCUACGGGACCAUCACCGGGAGCUCUCUCUUCCCAACGAGCACUUUCUUAGGCUCUAACUGAGGUGACUCUACCUAACAGGUGCGGUGGGAAAUGAUAAACAAAAUUAAAGUCGCUUUCUGAUAGAAACUUUGUUCAUUUGACUGAGCUGAAGAUGAUUCUUGUGAUUAUCCAAAGCUUCUUUUACCAUCAUGAGAACUCUAAUUUGGUUCUCAUAUACCCUACGGUAAAUCUGAACAUACUCUUCCCUACAGAGAAGUCUUCUCCAACAGGGAAUAAAUAAAAACCAGCUUAACACGGACCCCAGGAAAGUUUACAGACACCCAGGUGGGCAAAUCUUUCCUGUCCUCAGCACAAUAAAUUAUAUAAAAAAAGAUAAAACCUUAGAGAAAUUAAAAAAAAAAACAACUUUGCCUUUUAAGGGGAUUAUCCUAAUUUAUGCCUGCAGUUACUGAUUCCCAUCUUUCUACAAAGAAAGAGUGUAAAAAUAUCUGGCCAGCACACACUGAGUAGGUGUGUCUGUGAGUGACUCUCAGUGAGGAGAUGCUGGAUUGGAAUUGCAGCUCCACAUCCGGACUAUAAUUUGGUCUCCUGGGUUUCUACUUUUAAAAGUGUCGUAAUUAUCAGCAUUUAAAAGGUGAACAAUGUAUUUCAAACUGUUAUUUUGAAGGACCCAGAGAGUUUAUUAUCUCUUCGGUCUUGAAGAGAGUUUGGAUAUCUUUGUAGAAGCUAAGCCUUAAUUCAGCUGCAAGGUUGUGAGCUUGGUGUAGACACUGAGUAAAGAUACAGCCCUCUGCUGAGAGUCUUACUACAUAAAAGUUUGUUGUUGCUAAAAAUUCCUUUCUGGCUCUCACUCUCUCAGGCUUAUUUAUAGAAGCUACCUUUACCUGGGAGUUUCUUUAGUUUUUGUUAUUUGGAAGCUGCUUUUUACAUGUAUAUCUGAGUGCAUUUUUAUUACUCCAACACAGCUGAACAUAGUUUGGUUUUGACUCUAGUGGGACCAUAUUUCAUUGGAGAUGCACAUGAAUGCCAGAGGAACGCACCAGGAAUGCAUCACAUGUGGUUCUCUGGGAUGGUUUGUGUAUGGCAAGAGCAGAAACGUGCUUUGGCUUCAAAGAAGUCCUGUAUUUUAUUAGCAUAAUCUGUAGAAAUUGUCAGUCAGGGGCUUGCUGUUGGUUUAGGCCCAGUGGUCAUUGGUCUAAUAACCUUCUGACUGAGCUUGGGAUUAAAGAGUCAAAAGUUUGUGGUUCAUUCAGCAAGGGGGACCCUCCAUCUGAGCACACUGAUGUCUGUGAUGAGCCUUUGUUCUAUCCCAGUGGUCCCCAGCCCACGCUGGCCCCGGGAUAAUAAUAAUAUCAAGCAAGGAAUGCACUGCCUUUUUAUUUUUUUUUCCCUCAACUCUCCCCAUCCUUUUCAACUCCCAUGGCUGUGAGCAGCCUUGGAGGGUCCAUAAGGUUAACAAAUUGGGAAUUUCAAACCCCUUUGUUUCAGCCUCCCCUGAAACACCCCUGUUGGCUUUGCUCCGGGGCCUUGAACCCAGGAAUCCCUCCUGACCGACAGCCCCAAGGCCCCAGAGCUCGCAGGGCCAGCCUCAGCAGGGGACUGCCCCUGGCUGAGGAGCCCAGAUCUUUGGGGAUGAAACAAAAUGUUUCAGAUGUGACGAAUUGGACAUCUGUUUCAUCAGAGAAAAAAGAAAAAAAAAUUCAUCAGCUCUAAUGAGAGAUGCAAAGAUAUUUUGGUGUGUUGAUAGGCUGCCUCCUGUUCCUCACAGCUGGAACAAACAUGAUGCCUAAUCUAUUGGCCCUAGGAAUGAUUUUUUUUUCCCUGGGUAAUACCUUUUCUUCACAUCAGAGCACUGGAGUAUCGGUAGCACGCACUUGAUGCUUUGCAGUGCUCUCUUUAGUGGUUUUGGGUCAUUGCCAGCCUCCAAUUUAUGUGCAAGUUCCCUUAUCUCUAGGAGGUGGAUCCAUUCCAUACUGGAUUUCUUAAACGUGUCCUCCUGUGUAAAGUAUUGGUUUUUAUUCAGCAGCUCUACCAGGGCUAAAAGUGAAUUGUUUCUCUGUUAACACAGUCAGGGGAUCUGCUUUUACCCUGAGCUUGUCCUGUAGGAUUCACCUCCUCCAAAUGCUUCCAUACCCUUUAAAUGUGGUGAACAGGUAUGUGGGACAUGUUCUCUCUCACACUGAACUUCUCAGUAUCACCCAUCACUUGCAGUAAGUCUGUAGCUCAAUGCUGGCGGGCACUCCCAUGUACUGGCUGCUUUAUCAAGAAAUUGAUAAAUCCCCCUUGGGACUUUUUUAUUAGCAGCUUUGUGUGGACUCUGAAUGGUUUUACAGAAUGUUCCAGGACCUGAUCACAUUUCCCUCUUUGGAUAUCUGUGCACAGAUAUAAUUUUCCCCUUUUGAAUCUGUGCACAGAUUCAGUUCUUGCAAACCGAACACUUCAGUUUCUUGUGCAAAAUUAUUUUUCCUUUAAUACAAUAUUAUUUAUGGAGUCUUCUCUGGAAAGAAAUUCCUCUCCAACUCCUAUUUACUCCACUCCCAGGUGCUAUGUUUUUGUAGGUGCAGCUCUCUUUUGCUUUAAAUUGUACCUUCCUCCUUGCAGGAGGUGGCAGGAGGCCGAGCUCUCCCCAGCCCAUCUCACACACCGUGGGCUGAACGAUGCCAUUUCUGCUCCUAACCCUAAGAGUGUACCUUCCAUCUGAAAAGCUGUGACCAGAGAUGGUGCAAGUAUGGUUGGGAUUUUAGCCAGGCACUUGCAGACCAAGUUUUACAGCACUCCCUGAGAGAGGACUGCAUUCCCUGAGUAGACAUCUGCCUUUUCCUGGACAGUCCCUGCGAGCUCCUUGCAGCUGCCCCAGCAGUGGCCUGUUUCCAAAGUGCUGUCACCCACGUUUAUUCAAUACUUGCCAUAGUACAGUCUCUUUGGGAAGCAGGAUCCUGUCUGAAGCUCCUGAUAACAGCUUGUUGUGCUGUUGACACGGUUGCAGAUCCUGUGACUCCCCACAUUUCUUUUUUUAGAAGUAGCAUUCCAGCUCUCUCUAUUUUUUUUUUAAGCCUCCCUUUCAUUAAAUUGUGCUGAUGCCACAGAAAAUUGUCAGCUGUCCAUUCUUUCCCUAGACAGGGAAUAUAUCUGUAUGUAUAUAUAUGUAUAUAUGUAUAUAUAAUCAAGGCAAGGGGAGUAAAGGGUCAGGUGUUGCUAUGGAAAGAGACUAUUAAUCUGUGACAGAACUGGUACUAUGGGAGGUGAGAGCCUUCCCCUGCACAAAAUAAGCCUUUGAAAGGAAGCUCACCAGCCUUUCUCCAGGGGACACCUGCCCCAAGUUUGCUAAUUUGGUAAUUUGCUCCCUUUAUUGCUCUUCUUUGAUUAUGGCUUUUCAACUAGAUUUUUCACAGAUCUAAAUGUAGCCUAGUCUCAACUAGUCUGGAUUAAAUUAGAAAGCAGAUUUGUAUGAGGUAUUGUCUUGAAUACUUUACAAAGAGCUUGGUGACCAGGUCCUGGAGAUUAUUCUAAGUUUCUCAAAAAUCCUGUGAUGGUUUAUGCCAGCCAAUUACCCAGUUACAUGCAUGAGACAUCUUUCACUUUUGAUAGAUGCAUGCAAAAGGAAGGAAGGGGAAGCUGGAGCAAGGGGAGAGAUUAUCCCAUUUCUCAUCUAUUCUGUUAAAAUUUUGUCCCUUGCAGAGCCCAGCUGUGUAUCACUCUGGUCCAUCAUGGUCAUGGCUUCAUCAGGGACCACCAGGUCAACCAGCCUGCAGCAAAGGAAACCAGCUCUGCUCUUAUUCCUUAACUCCAUAACUGAGGAGGAGGAUGGAGGAUAACUGAUCCAGGAGGAUGGAGCAGAAGGAAUCCUCCUUUGGAGGUGCCCUUGCAGAACUGGUUUCUCUGUGCUCCAUGAUGGCCAUCCAGACACGCACAAAUGGCUUCAGCUUCCCAAGGCUCUCCGUGAGGAUGGGAUUGAAGCAGCCACUCCUGACCCACCACUCUUUAUUGGAGGGCCCCAAGAAGUAUAGGGGACAUGCUAUUAACUGUGGCAAACAAAUUGCAUUUAAAAUGAAUGCAAUAAAAUGUAGAUUUACCAUCUGAAUUUCUUAUCUAUAAAACUUAGGCUCCGAGUGUUUUUACAUCUUUAGAAGAAUUUAUAUCUCUGGGCGUAUUUUUUAGCAGCUUGGCUGAUAGCUUCAUCCUGGUCUGGCCUAGAAAUAAAGAGUUAAAUUAAUUUCUUCCCAUACAGCAGGAAUUUUGAAUCCAUUUCACUUUUCCAGCCCCUUGCCAUUCUUCUCGCUGACCGCAGACCUGCCAGUUGGUGUUACCUCUCCCGGUCACUCGGAGGUUGCCUCAUGGACCACAAGGUCUUUCCCGGCCAAAGGCUGAAAACUGCUGCUUGAAGGAAUGUGAAUGAGCAGAACAAACCUCUGUCAGGAUCAUUGGGCUGGUAUGAUGCUCACCCACACCGACCAAUGUGCCACAAGUGAUGAUUUAUUUUUGUUCUGCCUGACAGUCUCAAAAUUUCAACUUUUUAAAAGUUUUCCUUUGCUACAGGAAGCAUCAGAGGACUGUAGAUUGGGUGCUAUAUACAAUAAGAAGAGUUGGCUUAAAUAUUUAAGUAUUAACAUUUCCUUGUGUCCCCCCUUCCUCUAGCAUUUUUAGGUUUUCUUCAGCAGUAAUUUGACUGAUUCUGAUAUUAUUGCAUUGCUGUGGACCUUUAAAUCCUGGUAAAAAUUCACUGUGUCUGGCUUUUAAAUCUUUGCAAUCUGAACAUGUCCCUUCUCAGGUACAGGUGUGUGUGUGUGCAUACACACAGAGACGUGUAUAUACAGAGAGGCAGAAAGAGGGGUUAUGUGCCUCUCUGGAAAUCAAACCCGGGAAAAGGAGGGUAGCUCUUUCUUCUGUAGCAUUUAGAAAUAUUCCAUGACCCCUCUCUGCUUUUUACAGAGUGGAUUUUGCUGCAGGACCAGCGCUCUGAGAAGGGCUUCAGCUCCAGUGUUGCCUCUAGGUCACUUCUCCUUCCCCACACAGUAAUAUUUUCAGUCAAGAAUGGUGAUUGUGGGGAGCAAAAUGGUAACAUACUUGCAAAUAUCUGAAGGGUGAUCAGCUUUCAGAGCUCCAGUAAGUCAUUACUUCAUGGUGCAGAAGACAAACAGGCUUGGUUUUGUGCUUCAAUCAAGACUCUGCUCUAAGCAAGUUGAGCAUCGAGGCAAACUGAGCUGAUGAUCAGCUGGUGCAUGGUACUACCAGGUUUGAGUCCAAUUCACUCUGGAUUUGAAGUGGUUCGUGUUCCUUGACAAUUGCUUUGAAUACCGUCAGGAGAGAAUGAACUUUGCAGCUGAGGAUUAUUGACAAAUCUGUUUGAAAAAGAUGCAUGAAGAACAUCCUUUCUGGUCCAUCUUGUGGUAAAAAGCGGGUAUUUCUUUGCUCAUUUGAAUGUCAGUGGAUUAUUUAUGCUGGUGCAAUGUUUUGAAGAGAUAAAAUACUCCCCACUGUGCUACAUGCAAAUCUCUGCAAUGUAAACAUAAAUAGUUGUUGCACAUGCAUAAUCAAAGACAUUUUUUUUAAUGAUUGUUGGAUAGUUCAGUCCUCUAAUGGCAUUGUCUGGUGUAAAUCAGUGUAGCUCUACUGAAGCCUGCAAAGCCCCUACCAAUCUGUACCAGAUGGGGCUCAAACCCUUCACUCUAACUUUAGUCCUCCUAAAAAAAAAAGGAAAAAAAUAGCCUGAUAGUCCUUGAAAAUGAAAUUCUUUGUUCAUUCAUGGGAGGAUGGUAGAGCAAGAGUGGCAGGGACUUCUCUUGAUCCAUAUGUGUGCCUCAGCCCUUAUCUAGGGAGAACAUUUCUGCGAUGAGGGAAAGCACGAGGUUCUGUGCCAAGUUAGUUCUUGGCCCCUCUGCUCAGACUAGAGCAGAGAUUUGCCAGAUAAUGUCAUUUAUAAUGUGAACUCCUUUCUGCCGAGAUUUGGACCAAGACCACCAGCUCUUUAGCACAGGCCAGCAGACGCUGCCAGAUGCUAAGAAUUUUCAGUCGUUCACAACCUGUGCUGCAUUUUUAGAUACCUAAAGGUGAAGGGCUUGAAAUCUGAUUUUCUGUCCCCAGAGCGAUCUUGUUUCACUGUCAUUCAGCAUUAUCUUUUCUCCAACAUUGUACACAGCACAAUGAACUUUCUAAAGCUACUUUGACACCUGAUUCGACUCCAGCUGAAGACAACAACCUCAAUCUCAUCCUCCUGGUGUUCUGUAGAAAAACUGUGCUCUGAGUUAAUAUAAAACACAAUAUUCAGUAGCAUCUAUUUUCACAAAUCUAUUUAGACUACAUCAUCCAAAUAGCUGCUAGUGGAGACUGCCCAUGCAGAUUUUAAUGCUAUAAAUGUACAUUUAUUUCCAAGUCAUCAACAAUAUAUUAACCGGCAUACACAGUGUUUUAUCCAACAGACACAAAGUUAAGUUUUCUUGCAUAAAAAGAGGUGGAAAAUUAGGAGUUUGCUCCCCCUCUGUUGAAUGCUGAUAGUAAAAAUAUCCACUAAAUACUGAAUAUCACUUAUUAAUAAUAGAUUGGAGGAGAGAGUUUUGAUAGAAAUGAAGAGUACACACAUACACACACUAUAAAUGUAUCCACCUUUCAAGCAACUAAGUUUGCAUUACUAUGAUCAGCUCUUUCAGGUUUACCUGUUAGAUUUUUUUUCCCCGUUUUCUGCAUUUUCGACAAGAUCCUCCAAAAGAGUUGCUGUUAUCCUUAUAUAGGCCUGAUGUGGACAUAAACUUUUUUGCAAGAAGCCUGAGCUACUGUUAGCAGCUCCCAAAGAGCUCAAAGUCCGACGUGGGUUUAAUUUGUGGUGCCAUGGCAGAACUGUCUAACAAUAUAAGUCUGUUGGACAUGUCGUCUGGGCUGUCACGUUCAAUUUGCACAUGACCUCCUGGCCAAAAAAUGGGAAAGAAGUGGUAGAAUGUGGGACUGAAAGCUUAUAUUAUUGCUUUGACAGCUUCACUCAUCUAGAAGUAAUGCAAAAUGCAAUUUAUAUUUAUACUCUCUGACCUUCUGUACAGAGAGUGAAACUAUCUAAUGAUGGGCCACGGUAGCAGAGAAAGAAACAGAUCUCAAUACAGCUGGAAUUUGUCUACAUUUUUUGCUUUUCAACCAUUCAAUUACAGUCAAAAGAUAAAUGAAACAUGAAGAGUGCCUUGGUUAGGUAGUGACACAAUUAUUUUAUAGUGAGUAGGUUCUGGCUUUGAGCCUUGGCAAAGGUUGCCAUGCACGCCUUGUUUCACUAGAUACAGAUAAUCUGCCUGCUCCCACUGGACAAAUCCCCUCUGCUUGGAGGUGUGUCAUUAUGCCCAUCACAGGAGGAGAAGAAAGACACCAGCAACUCAGUACCACUCUCCCCGUGCAUUUCAAUAUCCUUGAGAAAGGCUGAUGCUCUAAUCCUAUUAACCACGAUAAAUCAAGUCAGGCCCAAUUGUAAACGGGACACGACGCAUUUUUGUGGAAAACGGGCAGAUAGGAAGGAUGCGCCACGUUCUUCUCAUCUGAGGAGCAGCACAUGGGUUUGUAUCUUCUCAGGGAAAGGAAAUAAGUACAUCAGCCUUUGAUUCUGACAGGACUGCUGAAGUAACCACCAGGUAACACCUGAAGAUCCUUAACAACACGUCUCAGAGCAGAUAUCACACUGCCACAGCUCAGCAUCCUUCAGAGGGCUUCACUGCAGCCAUGGCUGCUCAGAGCAGCAUGAUUUGGCUCAAAAAUCCAGCCUCCAGCUGUGUCUGUUUCUCCCUUCUCAUUCAAAAGAGACACAUGAAGGAAAAGUUAUUUGCAGGAAUGAGCAUUAAGAGAAGAUAACAAGCACAGAAAACAAAGUAUGGGUUUUGCACAUCCCGGUGUAUUUUGGAAAACUGUAUCAGUUUGAAUUCAUCUCUUCACUCCAUUGAUCCAUCCUGCCUUAAAUAGGAGGUGACCCAAAGUCCAUUGACCUUAGUAGUGAGAGUUUCAUAAAUGGUUGUAAGCUGCGAAACAGGUUUAGAAUUUAGAUGUUCAUAUAAACCAGUCACUUGUUUUCUUUUCUAUCGUAAUUGUUUUGUUCUGGUUUGCCGCAUUUCAGUGGAUGUUUUUUGCUCUUGUACAUUGAAUUAAUAAAAAAAUGUUAUUGGACAAAAAUGCCAACUGAUAUCCAACUUUCUUCAUGGAAUUCCUUUUUUAUAAGAUAUGUGAUGACAAUAAUAAACAAUUAAACUGGUGGUCACUAUACAGUUAACAUGUCAGAAAAUAAUAAA